GCUCCCUUAACUCAGGGGUAAGAGUUCCGAGCUUAUAUCUCGGCGGUCGCUGGUUCGAUUCCAGCAGGGAGUA
rnacentral:tRNA from 2 species